UUGAAGGAAAAAAGAAUUGAGUCAUCAGAAGAAGCUGUGCGGUUAUCUGAUGAUGAGUGUGACUUACAAGUGUAAAAUAGAUUUGUUAUCAAAUCUAGAUGAUGUAAAAUAAAAAAUCAUAAAGUGACAACAUCUUAUAUAAUACCUAAAGCGUGAAUAGCAAAUAAUAACCCGUAAAAGAGAGUAAUCCAGUUCACGACAUAUCUUUG
rnacentral:lncRNA from 1 species